AUGAACGCUGGCGGCGUGCCUAAUACAUGCAAGUCGAGCGAACGGACGAGAAGCUUGCUUCUCUGAUGUUAGCGGCGGACGGGUGAGUAACACGUGGAUAACCUACCUAUAAGACUGGGAUAACUUCGGGAAACCGGAGCUAAUACCGGAUAAUAUUUUGAACCGCAUGGUUCAAAAGUGAAAGACGGUCUUGCUGUCACUUAUAGAUGGAUCCGCGCUGCAUUAGCUAGUUGGUAAGGUAACGGCUUACCAAGGCAACGAUGCAUAGCCGACCUGAGAGGGUGAUCGGCCACACUGGAACUGAGACACGGUCCAGACUCCUACGGGAGGCAGCAGUAGGGAAUCUUCCGCAAUGGGCGAAAGCCUCACGGAGCAACGCCGCGUGAGUGAUGAAGGUCUUCGGAUCGUAAAACUCUGUUAUUAGGGAAGAACAUAUGUGUAAGUAACUGUGCACAUCUUGACGGUACCUAAUCAGAAAGCCACGGCUAACUACGUG
rnacentral:rRNA from 1 species